rnacentral:rRNA from 1 species
AGAGUUUGAUCAUGGCUCAGGAUGAACGCUAGCGGCAGGCUUAACACAUGCAAGUCGAGGGGUAUUGGUUUUCGGACCAAGAGACCGGCGCACGGGUGCGUAACGCGUAUGCAAUCUACCUUUCACAGAGGGAUAGCCCAGAGAAAUUUGGAUUAAUACCUCAUAGUAUGCAGAGUUGGCAUCAACCCUGCAUUAAAGUCACAACGGUGAAAGAUGAGCAUGCGUCCCAUUAGCUAGUUGGUAAGGUAACGGCUUACCAAGGCUACGAUGGGUAGGGGUCCUGAGAGGGAGAUCCCCCACACUGGUACUGAGACACGGACCAGACUCCUACGGGAGGCAGCAGUGAGGAAUAUUGGACAAUGGGCGCAAGCCUGAUCCAGCCAUGCCGCGUGCAGGAUGACGGUCCUAUGGAUUGUAAACUGCUUUUGCACAGGAAGAAACAACUCUACGUGUAGAGUCUUGACGGUACUGUGAGAAUAAGGAUCGGCUAACUCCGUGCCAGCAGCCGCGGUAAUACGGAGGAUCCAAGCGUUAUCCGGAAUCAUUGGGUUUAAAGCGUCCGUAGGCGGUUUAGUAAGUCAGUGGUGAAAGCCCAUCGCUCAACGGUGGAACGGCCAUUGAUACUGCUAGACUUGAAUUAUUAGGAAGUAACUAGAAUAUGUAGUGUAGCGGUGAAAUGCUUAGAGAUUACAUGGAGUACCAAUUGCGAAGGCAGGUUACUACUAAUGGAUUGACUGAUGGACGAAAGCGUGGGUAGCGAACAGGAUUAGAUACCCUGGUAGUCCACGCCGUAAACGAUGGAUACUAGCUGUUGGGAGCAAUCUCAGUGGCUAAGCGAAAGUGAUAAGUAUCCCACCUGGGGAGUACGUUCGCAAGAAUGAAAC